AAAACAUAGCCCUAGAAAAAAAUCUAAGGUGUAACCUGCCCAGUGAUCUUUAAAUCUGAUUAUAAUGUAGUCAAAAUAAGAUUAAAAGGACGCGGUAACCUUGACCGUGAUAAUGUAGCAUAAUCACUCGCCAUUUAAUUGGUGGAUAGUAUGAAUGGUUGAACGAAUAUCCCACUGUCUUAAAGAAAAUUAAAGGAAAUUGAAAUAAUAGUUAAGAUGCUAUUUUUAACUGUAAGACGAAAAGACCCUAUAGAGCUUAACUAUAAUCUCUGUAAAAUUACAAAUGAAUUUCUAAUUCAAUAGUUACAGAGACUGGUAGUUUAGUUGGGGCGACUAUCUUCUAUAUAUAACGAAGAUAAGCAAUGUUAAUAAAAAACUUAUUGUAUAAUCAAUAUAUUUAACAAUUAUGAAAAUAGGCUAUAAUGACCCGUUAACUCUUGAAAAACAGGUUAACGAUCAAUUGAUAAAAGCUACCUUAGGGAUAACAGGAUAAUUUUAUUUUAGAGCUCCUAUCGAAAAUAAAGUUUGUCACCUCUAUGUUGAAUUAAGAUAUCCUGGUAAUGUAGAAGUUACCAAAGGUAGGUCUGUUCGACCUUUAAAAUCUUACAUGAUUUGAGUUCAUUCCGUCGCAAGACAGGA
rnacentral:rRNA from 1 species